rnacentral:rRNA from 1 species
AGCGAACGCUGGCGGCAGGCUUAACACAUGCAAGUCGAGCGGGCCCUUCGGGGUCAGCGGCGGACGGGUGCGUAACGCGUGGGAACGUGCCUUCUGGUCUGGAAUAACCCUGGGAAACUAGGGCUAAUACCGGAUACGCCCUUUUGGGGAAAGGUUUACUGCCGGAAGAUCGGCCCGCGUCUGAUUAGCUAGUUGGUGGGGUAACGGCCUACCAAGGCGACGAUCAGUAGCUGGUCUGAGAGGAUGAUCAGCCACACUGGGACUGAGACACGGCCCAGACUCCUACGGGAGGCAGCAGUGGGGAAUAUUGGACAAUGGGCGCAAGCCUGAUCCAGCCAUGCCGCGUGAGUGAUGAAGGCCUUAGGGUUGUAAAGCUCUUUUAUCGGGGACGAUAAUGACGGUACCGGAGGAAUAAGCCCCGGCUAACUUCGUG